UACGUAGGUGGCAAGCGUUGUCCGGAUUUACUGGGCGUAAAGAGCGCGCAGGCGGUCGUUCAAGUCGCGUGUGAAAGCCCCCGGCUCAACUGGGGAGGGUCACGCGACACUGACCGACUCGAAGGCAGGAGAGGGUAGUGGAAUUCCCGGUGUAGUGGUGAAAUGCGUAGAUGUCGGGAGGAACACCAGUGGCGAAGGCGACUACCUGGCCUGUUCUUGACGCUGAGGCGCGAAAGCUAGGGGAGCAAACGGG
rnacentral:rRNA from 1 species